rnacentral:tRNA from 1 species
GCCUGGCUGGCUCAGUUGGUAGAGCAUGCUACUCUUAAUCUUAGGCUGAUGAGUUUAAGUCCCAUGUUGGGCA